rnacentral:rRNA from 1 species
GAUGAACGCUGGCGGCGUGCCUAAUACAUGCAAGUCGAGCGAACGGACGAGAAGCUUGCUUCUCUGAUGUUAGCGGCGGACGGGUGAGUAACACGUGGAUAACCUACCUAUAAGACUGGGAUAACUUCGGGAAACCGUAGCUAAUACCGGAUAAUAUUUUGAACCGCAUGGUUCAAAAGUGAAAGACGGUCUUGCUGUCACUUAUAGAUGGAUCCGCGCUGCAUUAGCUAGUUGGUAAGGUAACGGCUUACCAAGGCAACGAUGCAUAGCCGACCUGAGAGGGUGAUCGGCCACACUGGAACUGAGACACGGUCCAGACUCCUACGGGAGGCAGCAGUAGGGAAUCUUCCGCAAUGGGCGAAAGCCUGACGGAGCAACGCCGCGUGAGUGAUGAAGGUCUUCGGAUCGUAAAACUCUGUUAUUAGGGAAGAAUAGAUGUGUAAGUAACUGUGCACAUCUUGACGGUACCUAAUCAGAAAGCCACGGCUAACUACGUG